rnacentral:lncRNA from 1 species
AAAUUGUGAACUUUCAUUGACACAUAGGCAUACAGUAAGAUGUUGACUGGAGACAGAGGCAGGAUUGUAUACUUUAUAUUGUGAACUGAAUUUUAAUGUGCGUAUUGUUAUGCGUUUACUUUUCUACAUUGGUUAGAUGUAUAGGGGGAGGGUUGAGAUCUCACAAACAUGUUUAACCCCGCCGCAUUUUUGCGCCUGUCCCAAGUCAGGAGCCUCUGGCCUUUGUUAGUCUUGUAUUAUUUUAAUUUUAGUUUCUUGUGUACAAUUUGGAAAUUAGUAUGGCGUUCAUCAUCACUGGACUAGUAUAUAUUUGUUUAGGGGCCAGCUGAAGGACGCCUCCGGGUGCGGGAAUUUCUCGCUACAUUGAAGACCUGUUGGUGACCCUCUGCUGUUGUUUUUUAUUUGGUCGAGUUGUUGUCUCUUUGACACAUUCCCCAUUUCCAUUCUCAAUUUUAUUUAAAUAAUCUUAAAUGUUGGAAUGAUUGACUGCUAAACAUUACAUUUACAGUAUUCUGAAAUGCUUUCAAUUUGUUAUCAGAACAGUUUUAAACAAGUUUUAGGCAUUCCAUGUCAGAAAACAUGCAAAAAGGUUAAGCUGUCAAUAAUUAAAGUCUUGUUUUUUAAAUUGUUAAAAAAAAACUGAAACAGGGGAGGA